rnacentral:tmRNA from 1 species
UUUGGUUUCGACGGGGGCGGCAGGGAUAAAAGCUGCAGGUCGAGCUUUCCGACUCGUAAAUCCGGAAGCGUAAAAUAAACGCCAAAGACGAAUUAGCACUCGCUGCCUAAUUAAACGCAGCGCGCCCUCCCCGGCGGUGCCCGGCGGCCGGGAAAAGGGUGUCAUAAAUCCGGGAUCUUCCCGUAGUGCGGCUCUGGCACUAUAGGAGAAAAUUAAAGAGCUGGCCGAACUUUUAUCCUGCUCCCGGGAGAAAAGACGGCGAGAAACAAAACGGGAGAUAAGCCUGUAGACGCUUUUAUCGAUGUGCCUUCGGACAGGGGUUCGAUUCA